CAAGGCAGAUUCGAGACAGGACAGAAAAAAUGUUUGUCCGUGCUACCCUCUUCCUUCAAAGAUGAGAAAUACCUCUAAAUAGUAUGAACAACAGGAAAGCUACCAGCCCCCCGGUACAUAGUUGUGUAUUCUUAGUUGUGGGUCCUUCUAGUUGUGGCAUGUGGGACGCCGCCUCAGCGUGGUUUGAUGAGCAGUGCCAUGUCCGCACCCAGGAUUCGAACCGACGAAACACUGGGCCGCCUGCAGAGGAGCGCGCGAACUUAACCACUCGGCCACGGGGCCAGCCCCUUCAGAGGCAUAGGGAGAGUUGAAUUGCUCCUGCUUCUCGCCCAAUGUGUUUGCCAUCUGGACUGCCACUAACAGCUAGAAAUGCCCCCUUCCUCCCAAAGAAAAAAUAAAAGGUAAAUGCUUUUGAACACCACCUUAUGGCUGUUUAAACAUCAGUUUCUGACUAUACACAGUAGCUCCCUCCACCCCUCCCCCUCACUCCCUUCACUUCCCUCCCUCCAACUAUCCUGACAAGGAGAGAGAAAGAAGGAAGUCGUACAUGUAGCACAUUCCCAUUAUGAUCCCCAGUGUGGUGCCAUUAAAUAGGACCCUGUCUGAGUGGGUCUAAUUGGCCAAUAUAUGGUGCUUUGUAUUGAUGCUUUUUAGUCACUACAGAGCUCGAUAUACUUACAUGUAUAUAAUUCA
rnacentral:lncRNA from 1 species